GGCAGCAAUUACAGCUGAAGGGAUUCGGUAAAGAAUUCGGUGAGAACGAAAGUUGGGCGUGCACACAGGGGAUUUAAUCUGUGUUUGUUCACACAGACCUGUUGUCUAGCGAGUUACUCUGAAGAGGAGCCUCGGGCUGCAGGAUUAAUUAAUGCUGGUUCAUGCACUACUCCCAGAUAUUAAGAAACACAUUGUAAGAAGUCUGUCUCCUCGAAAUAAGGUGUGGACGCACAGCAGUGCCUGGCUCUGCCCAUGAGGAUCAGGAAGAUCCUGCCCAGAGGUGAACUCCACAGUGCUGUGCUGAAAUGAGAAGCUCUCCAGCUCAGGAUCCAACCUCUUUGGCCAAAUCCUCAAUCCUUUAUGUUCCGGUGGUACAAAGCUUGCACGAAGCUGACCUGGGGUCCUGAGGAGUGUUUCCAUCUCACUGAAGAUCCAUGAUUGAAGUCCUGACCUGCCUAUGUGAUAAUUUAAGUCUGUCAUGACCACAUUGGUGUCAGUGCACCCCACAAUGUUCUGGGCUACAAACAGAAGAGGUCAAACUCUCAGUCAGACCAGACACAGAGGCACAAAUGCAAG